UAAGCAAGAUAUGAAAUCGUACGGCUCAACCGUAUAUCCGUAUUUGAACUGAUUAACUAGAGGGCGAGAGAGGUUAUUGGAAUUUCUUGUGUAGGAGUGAAAUCCGUAGAUAUAAGAAGGAACACCGAUGGCGUAGGCAGAUAACUGGCUCGCACCUGACACUGAGGCACGAAAGCGUGGGGAGCAAACGGGAUUAGAUACCCCGGUAGUCCACGCCGUAAACUAUGGAUGCUA
rnacentral:rRNA from 1 species